CAGCUAAUAAAGUCAGAUUUGGAAAAAGAUUCACAGUAAAAGCAGUUACCAAAGGAUUGUUUUGUUCUGAGCCGUUUCAAUUCACCUACUACACGUCUAGUUGUUGUACUGCGUUGAACUUGUUUCAUUUGCUUCCAAAAAUCCCUUGGCACUUUAAAGAAUGGGAUUGUAAGGAUUUGUAAACUCGUAAUAAAAAGGAAAAAUGCUUAGGGGUGUGUUUCGGGAAGGUCCUAAAGGAUGCAUUCCUGCACUUUCUUGAAAAAGGCAUAAUUAAGAGGAAUUUAUACUCCAG